rnacentral:rRNA from 1 species
AGCGAACGCUGGCGGCAGGCCUAACACAUGCAAGUCGAACGAACUCUUCGGAGUUAGUGGCGGACGGGUGAGUAACACGUGGGAACGUGCCUUUUGGUUCGGAAUAACUCAGGGAAACUUGUGCUAAUACCGAAUGUGCCCUUCGGGGGAAAGAUUUAUCGCCAUUAGAGCGGCCCGCGUCUGAUUAGCUAGUUGGUGAGGUAACGGCUCUCCAAGGCGACGAUCAGUAGCUGGUCUGAGAGGAUGACCAGCCACACUGGGACUGAGACACGGCCCAGACUCCUACGGGAAGCAGCAGUGGGGAAUCUUGCGCAAUGGGCGAAAGCCUGACGCAGCCAUGCCGCGUGAAUGAUGAAGGUCUUAGGAUUGUAAAAUUCUUUCACCGGGGACGAUAAUGACGGUACCCGGAGAAGAAGCCCCGGCUAACUUCGUG